GUCCAUUCUAGCCGAAAUGGCCCAUUUUGGCCUGGUCCGUGGCAUAAAGGAGACCGGUUAGGGUUGGAAAAACCCUAGCCGGUCCUCUCUUUGUGUUGCUGGCGCCGCCGCCAGGGGCCGAAGCCGUAGUCGCCGCGAGGAGCCGCCAGUGCGCGCCCGCGGAGGCUAGCUAGGGCUGCCCGUGUGGCCGCCAUGAUCGGUUCGCACCGGAGCAUGGGGCGCCCGCACGCGCCUACGGAGGCUGCGUGACCGACCUGCGUCGGGGCUGGGGCACCCGCCCGCGAGGUUGCGGCGGCGGCCUGCCUGUGCGCGUGGCUCGUCCAUGGACACACAGUACAAUCAUGCAGACGCCACGUAGUACAGUUGUUUCUUGGCGCUGCUCGAUCGAUCGCGCUGGCUGGAUGCGGCAUGCCGCCGUGGUUCUCGGUGGCCCAUCGCCGUCCCCGGGCCGGGGUAUUGUUUCCCGGCUUGCACGCACCACCUCAAAUCAAAGGACGGCGACCACACAUCGUCGUACCUUCAAGGUCAGGUCAGGCAGCCCCUUCAAUUUCGCUAGAUCUGAUGAGACCUCUUUUUUUUUUUGUAUCGGUACUUAUAUUAUUAUUGCUCCUGCUUGAUCCAAAAACCAUUCAACGCUCAUGUAUAGUCAGUCAUGUUUGCUCGUCGCUUGACAGAGGGGCCAAAACAGGUAGCAGUAGUGUGCCCCAGUGGCCCAGGCUCUACACUCUACAGUGUUAGAUCUAGGUGCGUGCCCCAUACGGCCAUAGUGUGCAUGCCAUCACACACGAAUAAUAAAUGCAGGCAAUAAAUCAGCUCCCAAAGGGUAAAGAAUGAAAAAAAAUAUAAACUGGCACCUUCAUAACAAGUGGAUAAUUUUUUUAAGUGUUGCCUAUUUUCAUAGUAGGUAAAAACAAGGGGUGAGCUGUUUUCAAUUUUGUACCACAACAAAAACAGCCUUUGGAACAAAGCAGUUGUGGCAUUUCAGCCCUUUGGUUGACUUUUACAAAAUCAAAAGCAGGUUCCAAAGCCCAACCAAAAGGACCUUAAAAUUAUCAAAUCAACAAAAGCUACUUGCCAAGAACAUAGAAAAAGAAAAAAUUGUCCUCAUUAGAUACACCAAGCAAAAAAUAAACUUUUGAAUGAUCUACAUCAAAAUAGACUCGAACCCAUUCGAUAAUCUUUUUUGGUGUUUCAUGAUCAAUAUUAUUGUUUAUACAAGAUCAUGCAAGAGUCCAAGGCAUAAGAUGAGAGAAGGCCAGACAAAGACAGAGAAAUAAAGGAAAAAUAGAGCACUCAACCACACCAAACGUGUCCCACGUAAUAAGAGUGUUACUAUACUGAAGAAGAGCUACUGAGAAAGAGUACACAGAACGCUCAGGUAUCCACCGGACGUCACACUAGAUAGGACACCGGAUACGGAACUCAAAGAUAUCUGCAUCAUAUUUGAGAAUAUCCAUAAGGUACCAGACUUAUCCAGUGUCCAUCGGAUACCUCACCGAACCGGACGUGUCUAAUGUAACACCGGUGAAAGCACUAGAUUCUCUGACUCAAAUGGCUAACAAUGUCAAGUACCGACUGCUAGCCGUCGAGGACAAACACUGGUGUGUCUAAUGCCUGCACCGGAGUAUCCAGUAAGUAUGCAAAAAAUAUGCAUCACUUCUGAUGGCUAGUUUUGGACUUGGGGGCUAUAUACCACCACAAUAGGGCAUUUGAGAUGUGCGGGAGCUAAAAACAUUGCUAAAGAGUUGAGACUACAUUCCUAUAGCUCUAGACAUCUAAGUGCUUAAUGAUCACUCUGUGAUUAGCGUUCGUGCUUUGUGAAAUGCUUAGGUUAGUUAGACCGCUAUCAUUAGCUCUUGCUCUAAGUUUUGCCUACUGAUUAGAAGUGAGGUUAAAGACCCUCAAACCCUUGGUGCUUGCAUGCAUGAUUAUAUACCUUGGCUCUUGCGCGCACCAUUGUGUUGUACCAAAAGGGGUUGUAACCUUGUGAUAUCAUAUUAAUUACAUUUAUGGUGUGGUCGCUAUCGUGUACUAGAGAGAACGAGGACCAUAACAUCUUGGCUGGAAACUUGAUAGCGCAGAAGACACAGAGCAUCCGAGAAAGACCAAAAGUGGAGCACCAUUUGCAUGGAGAAGGUCUGAAGCUAUCCACGAAGUUACUUUUGAGUGGGAGCUUGUCCCUUGUGUGGGCAUUCCCUUUCAUGGGGCUCCAACAAGGAUUAGGGGAAAGCUUGCAUGCUUUUUGAUACCUCGGUAAAAUACUGAUGCUUCAUUGGAUGUGAAAGGAUCACGAUGCCCAAGAGAGGGUGAAUUGGGCUUGUCUAAAAUUCUAACAAAAGAUUAAACCCUAAACAUGAGCCCAACUUCACCCAAACUACUAGAAACAAGUAAAAGCUAUGGAAUAGAGAACAACCCUAAGUCAUUAUUGCAAAUACGAACUAAGCAAAUACACAAAAUAAAAUGCUCAAAGUAAAUGUGUAAAGUAAAGUAGGGACAAGAAGACUCCUCCUAUUUUUCCUAAGGUAUCGAAGAGUCGCCACUCACCACUGGUCCUCGUUGGAGAACCUGCACAAGGGUAUCGCUCUCCCUUGGUCCUCGCAAGAACCAAGUGCUCACUACAUGAAUCCACUUAAUUCCUGUUGGUUAAGAACCAACGGGAAUUACUAAUCCUCGUCGGUUUAUGGCUUAUUCCUGUCGGCGGUAAGCCGAUAACCGUCAGAUGUCGGGGAUAAGAUUAUUCCCGUCGGCUGCUGACGGGAAUAAGUAAUCAUCGUUGGCCAGUUACAAGCCGUCGGCAAUAAACACUAAUUCCCGUAGGUCCGGCGGGUCGGCGGGAAUUAACAAUUAAUUCCCGUCGGCCCUGUAACUCUCGUCGGCCAUGACCGACCGACAGGGAUUAACAAUUAAUUCCCAUCUGCCCUACCUAGCCGACAGGAAUUAAUUGUUAAUUCCCGUCGGUUCGACCAUAGCCGACGGGAGUUACUGGGCCGACGGGAAUUAACCUAUAUUGCUGCAAAACCAGCACCAAAUUAGGUAACUAUUUAUCCACAAUUGCACACAUAACAUAUAUAUCAUCACACAGAACAAACACAUGCAUUGAGUUUUCACACAUAACAUAUAUAUCAAUUCACACAUCACAAACUUAACAUCGCCAACAUAGUUUACACAAACAUUUCAAAUAGGAACAACGAGAUAAGUUCAAGUGUUUAGUUCGCGAAAAACAUAGCGUGCACGAGUUAAAAAACAUAGCGUGCACGAGUUCAAGUGUUUAGAGAUAACCAUCACUUGGGUGGUUAGAGCUUUGACCGCUGCCGCCACCAGGAGGAGGGAACGCGAAGAGAGAGAGUCAACAAAUCCAGUCCCUGCUGUGCGAUCAGACCCACUACCACCCGCUUCGGGCGUAACCUAUUUAAGUUAGCAAAUAUUAACAUUUUUAUCUCAAAUAUCAAACGUUAAAUGCAAAUAUCAACAAGUAUACAAGUGUAUAAAUUCAUCGAGAGUUAUUAAACGUACCCUAUCUUCAGGUGCAGGUAUAUGUGUCGGAGGGGUGUUGAACUGUGGUGGCGGAGCUAGUGUGGAUGCAAACUGGCUCCAUUGUGGUGGCGGUGGAAUAUUUGUUGUCAUGCCCUGUUGCUGCAUUAACUGUUAAACAUAUGUAUUACUAUUGAAGAUGUUGUAUUGAAAUAUAAUAAUUUCGAGUUCGAAAUAUGUAUACUCAUUUGAUACAUCGCUUGAUUAUGUGCAUUGCAAGCCUCCAUAAAUUUUCGUUGUUGUCUCAUCUCUUCACGCAUCCUCAUAAUCUCCAACUCAUGCUCGUUCGGUCGACGAGAGCACGAGCUAUGAGAAGACGAACCCGUCCUCUGAGAUCUCACUGACGACAAGUUAAUGAAUCCGUCGAAAAGUGCGUAUCUAUAAGUGAUUCAAAAAUAGUGAUUACUGCAUAAACAAUUUAGUUUCUACUAUGUAAUUUCAUAAGCUAGAGCUUACCGUCCAUGCGUUUUUCCACCACCACUUGCGUACACCACCGAGGGAUCCACCGGUUCAUGUCGCCAGUCGAAGUCAGGGCCAUGACGACGAACCAUCUCCUCCCCAUAUGAUGCCUAUGCAUCAUUCACAACCUUACAAAUGAAGGAAUUUCUAUAUUUUGAACUUUUGUACUUUUGGGCCAAAACUCACCAGUUGAUCCGUGGCUGUCUGGCUGAAGAGAUCUGCAACUAGACAACCACGAAUCGGCUGGUGAAUUUUGGUCCAAAAGUACAAACGUUCAAAGUAUAGAAAUUCCUGCAUUUGUAAGGUUGUGAAUGAUAUAUAGGCGACAUAUGGGGAGAAGAUGGUUCGUCGCCAUUGUCCUGACUUCGACUGGCGACAUGAAUCGGUGGAUCCCUCGGUGGUGUAUGCAAGUGGUGGUGGAAAAGCGCAUGGACGGUAAGCUCUAACUUAUGAAAUUACAUGGUUGACACUAAAUUGAUUAUGCAGUAAUCACAAUUUUUGAAUCACUUAUAGAUACACACUCUUCGACGGAUUCAUUGACUCGUCGUCGGUGAGAUUUUAGAGGACGGGUUCGUCUUCCUAUACCUUGUGCUCUGGCCGACCGAACGAGCAUGAGUUGGAGAUUAUGAGGAUGCGUGAGGAGAUGAAACAACAACGAGAAUUUAUGGAGGCUUGCAAUGCACAUAACCAAGCGAUUUUAUCAAGUGAGUAUACAUAAUCCGAACUCUAAAUUAUUAUAUUUCAAUACAACAUCUUGAAUAGUAACACAUAUGUUUAACAGUUAAUGCAGCAACAUAACAUAACAACAAAUAUUUCACCGCCACCACAAUAGAGCCAGUUUGCAUCCACACCAGCUCCGCCACCACAGUUCAACUCCCCUCCGACACAUAUAUCUGCACCUGGAGAUAGAGUACGUUUGAUAACUCUCGAUGAAUUUAUACACCUAUAUACUUGUUGAUAUUUGCAUUUAACGUUUGAUAUUUGUAUUAAAAAUGUUAAUUUUGCUAACUUGCAUAGGUUACGCUCGAAGCGGGUGAUAACGUGUCUGAUCCCACAGCAUGGACUGGAUUUGUUG
rnacentral:lncRNA from 1 species